GUGGUUGUAGCUCAGUUGGUUAGAGCGCUGGUUUGUGGUUCCAGAGGUCGUCGGUUCGAAACCGAUCAUCCACCCCA
rnacentral:tRNA from 1 species